rnacentral:rRNA from 1 species
UAUGGCUCAGGAUGAACGCUGGCGGCGUGCUUAACACAUGCAAGUCGAACGGAGUUUUUAAACGGAAGUCCUCGGAUGGAAGUUUAGAAACUUAGUGGCGGACGGGUGAGUAACGCGUGGGUAACCUGCCUCAUACAGGGGGAUAACAGUCGGAAACGAUUGCUAAAACCGCAUAACAUAGCGAAACCGCAUGAUUUUGCUAUCAAAUAUUUAUAGGUAUGAGAUGGGCCCGCGUCUGAUUAGCUAGUUGGUGGGGUAAUGGCCUACCAAGGCGACGAUCAGUAGCCGGCUUGAGAGAGUGACCGGCCACAUUGGGACUGAGACACGGCCCAAACUCCUACGGGAGGCAGCAGUGGGGAAUAUUGGACAAUGGGGGAAACCCUGAUCCAGCCGACGCCGCGUGAGUGAAGAAGUAUUUCGGUAUGUAAAGCUCUAUCAGCAGGGAAGAUAAUGACAGUACCUGACUAAGAAGCCCCGGCUAACUACGUGCCAGCCGCCGC